AGCCACCGCCUCCUCCCUCGCUGCUUCCACUCCUCCCGCAGCCGCCUCCCUCCCUCCCUCCCACGCAGCCGCCUCCCUCCCUCACUCGCUCCUCAUCCGGCGAUCGCUUCCACUCCUCCCACAGCCGCCUCCCUCCCUCACUCGCUCCUCAUCCGGUGACGGCAGCAGCGGUCACAGAGGAGGGCGGCGGAUCAAUGGCGUCGGCGAUGGCGUCCGUGGCGGCGGUGGACGGCGCGGCCGCGGCGCUCCGUUCGGUGAUGUCACGCGCGCGGCAGGUGGCGGCGCGGUCGGGGCGGGCGCCAGAGCAAUUUGGGCUUCUAUCCUGAUCAGUUAAUCCUUUGCCUCCUCUUGCUCGUACGCCAACAUGUGAGAACUAGGAGAAAGGGGUGGAGGCCAUGGAGGUCACGGGGCAAGGAAGAAGAGGAGGCCAUGGAGGUCGUGGGGGAGAUCCGGAGAGGAACAGGAGGCCACGAUGGAGGACCACGAUGUCGCCCCCAUCUUCCCACUCCUUGAAGAAUAGCACCCCUUCGAGCCCCAUGUUGUGGAAAAUAUUGGAACAAUCAACAAUCAUGUUGAAGACCAACAUAGGAUGAUAGAGAAUCUCCAGGUUCAAGGAAUUGUUCUCAGCGUCAUCCAAUGGAGGAAAGAUAAUGCAGAGGGGGUGGAAGUAGAUGUUGUGUCGCUAAUAGCACCAACUGCCAUUUACGGAUCCAGGGCCCGAGUCUUAGUUUGAUCUUGCUGUUUCGCGGCUCAAUAUCGAUGACUACCAUGAGGCACUGCACAGUUAAACUCCUCUGGUAUUUUCUACACCUUUGUGUAAUGGGUGGAACCUAUCCUACACAAUGCCCAAUGAGCCAUGUUUUUUCCUACGGGUAGAAAAUGCUCUGUUUUCAAGUGGCAUCAUACGGCGAAGCAGGGGAUCUGGAUCAGGGGUCGUAAUGGUUCUUGUGACGACAUGUCUAGCGCUUGCGCUCCCUGCACUCUGGCUUCUACUUGCAAGAUAAGUUCAAGACAAGUCUGACCUAAUAACUACUAUCGCCUUCUAUCCAAUGUCGAGCCUUCAACGGGGGCAUCGGAGGGGACACCGUCGCACGAAAGGUUGGUGCCUCAAGCCACACUUAUUUCUUGUGAUUCUUUUCUCUUGCCACCGAGUUCGAUUCCUCUGAUUGCAUGCAGCCCAGGAGAAGCCUAAACUGAAAAUAACUAGCUUUAGUACUUUUCAUUCAUAUGCAUUCCCUACUCAGGGAAAAAUGUCUUGCGUAUGUGUGUGUGUACUGAAAUUGUAACUCACUAUAGUAAUUCAUAAUUUGUUCAAUUUUUUACUUUGAUGCUGCAAAUAUAGGGAGGAAAUAUUGUGCAAGUCAAUAUCUCAAAAUGAACAAGGGGAAACCUUUUAAGUUACCUAAGGGAUCCAGAGGAAGGGCUAAAAACUGCAUAAGCAUAGCCAGUGAGCACGUAGAAAAAGCAUUGCAGUAUUCUUACAGGGACCAGCGUAACAAGAAAAAGUGACAGACCGUAUCUCUGGAUCGACUCCAUUGGGUAUCCAUUAACGUCUGAGAUUUCACAAGGAAAUGAGUUUCUUUCAUUCUCAUGUUGAAAAGAAUUAUAAAGAAACCAAGCAGAAUAUGAUGUCAAACUUUUAAGCUAUUAUUGGGUGGCCACCUAUCAAGGUUUGCUGAAAGUUAUGAACUUGCUUUUCAAAAGGCUUUGUAUUCUGCAUCUUUAUUUGUGCAAGAAAUCCAAUUGGAAUUGGUCUGUUGUCCUGUGCAUGUACUUUCUUUUGUUGCUUAUAUAUUUCAACCACUUAUUUAUGUUGUCCUGUGCAUGUACUUAUUUAUGUACUUCUGUCUGGGAUACUAUAUGGCUACCCUCUAAUGCACUGCUCAGCCUUCAGUCUCUUUCUGUAUAAUUGACUUAGGGAAAAACCCACUGUUUCCUAUCCUUUUCUGAACAGCGAGAUCUAAUUAUUAUGAAAGACAUCUGUAGUGUGUUGCUCUCUAUAUAAAUGGCUUGCUCUAAUUCUGAUUUAUCAGACUGUGUGGCUUCUGUUCUAAUCCUUUUUGCCAAACUUGAUGCGUCGAGUUUUGAGCUACUAUACCGCUUUGGAUCUUGUGCUUGGGCCGGGCAACUACUGAAAUGGAAAUGUGUUGGAGCGAUUAUGUGUUGCAGGUAAAGAAACAAAUUUUCAUUUUUUCGGCUUGCUAUUAAUUGUCACUUGCAUACACAUGAUUAGGUUGGUCAUGGAUUUGUGCAGCUAGCUAGUGCUAAUAUUAUGUGCUGCUCUAGAAAUAGAUCAAGUGAUACUUUUUUUUGUUCAUCUAAUGAUUUUUUUGUUAUUUCCUUUUGAAUGCUUAGCCAUGCUGUGUCUCACUCGUGUGAAACUCAAGAUUUGAUAGUAGCACAUAACUCCCUGAUUUGACAAAGAGUUAAAUUCCUAUAUUUUAGUAUAUCUUGUUAUCUUUCUUAUUUCUGUUCCUGAACUGAACUUCGCCCUUUUCUACAAAAUUAUAAGAGCAAUGGUGGUUUGGACAAAUGAUUAUGGUUGCUUAUUUAUUUUCUUGGUGUUAGAUUACUAAUGUAGAGAAAUAUAAUUAUAUGAUUUUACCAUUAUUAUCAUAUGAGGAAGUGAUAGGUUCGGAAAAUGACAAUAGUUUAAAAGAAGUAUUAUGGUGUAGUGCAGUAAUAAUUUUAAUUUAAAAUUGCAGAUCUUGCAUCAUAUUUUUGUUGUGUAUGUGGGCAGUGUGUUCAAGUUGAUCUGGAACAAUUUGAAGUGUUUCCUCGACACAAAAUCUUCAGCCAAGGUUUUCUUAAGCACCUGUAUAGAAGUUUAAAAUUGUAAUUGUUUCAGGUUCUUCGCCACAUUAUGUAUGCUUUGUUAUUUUUUUAAUAAUUGGACCUAUUUGCUAUGUGGAACAUGUAGCAUUUACUUGAUCAUAAUAUAAUUCAAUAUUUGACCACGGUCUUUUGGCUCUUGCUUUCAACAUAUGCAGUAUCGGUUAGUCAUUUUCUUGACACAACACUUUAGGCAACGGCUCAGACUUCUUGAGCCAUUCUCUAUUUAUUGUCGAUACAUCUUUCAAAAUAAACGAACAAUGUUUCCUCCAUAUAUGAAUGACACAAUGACUCUAUGAAUUUUUUCCAGUCAACUGAUCAUCCUAAGCCUCAUCCUGUAUUCAAUACAUUUAUGUUCCAUUGCUAACUAACGUUCGUUUGUGAUUUCUUUCUCGGGAUGGAAAUGUUCCUCGGCACCAUGACGAACAUCAACGGAGGAACAACCUUUUUAUUUUAUUUUCUGUUGCCUCUACUAUAUUGUUGCUGCCACAAAGAUUUACCUGGACAUGGAGCCAUCAUGAUGUGUUUAAAAAUGAUUACAUUAUCCUUUUCUAACCUGAUGGUGUUAGAAACCUCUUAGCAUUCGAGCAGGUUUAGUUCAUUGUUUAUUAAUUCCUAUUAUGUAAAAAAAUCACUGAUCAUCACUUGACAGAAAAUAUUUUGAUAUGCAAUCAUUUGCAUGGGCGAAGAACCUGGAUGUUAUUUA